rnacentral:misc_RNA from 1 species
UACGGAGGGUGCAAGCGUUAAUCGGAAUUACUGGGCGUAAAGCGCGCGUAGGUGGUUUGUUAAGUCGGAUGUGAAAGCCCCGGGCUCAACCUGGGAACUGCAUUCGAAACUGGCAAGCUAGAGUACGGUAGAGGGUGGUAGAAUUUCCUGUGUAGCGGUGAAAUGCGUAGAUAUAGGAAGGAAUACCGGUGGCGAAGGCGACCAUCUGGACUAAUACUGACACUGAGGUGCGAAAGCGUGGGGAGCAAACAGG